GAUCUGGGCACUGUCUCAACGAGAGACUCGGUGAAAUUAUAGUACCUGUGAAGAUGCAGGUUACCCGCGACAGGACGGAAAGACCCCGUGGAGCUUUACUGCAACCUGAUAUGGAAUGUUUGUACCGCUUGUACAGGAUAGGUAGGAGCCGAAGAGACGUGUGCGCUAGCAUACGAGGAGGCAAUGGUGGGAUACUACCCUGGCUGUAUGACCAUUCUAACCCGCCACGCUUAGCGCGUGGGGAGACAGUGUCAGGUGGGCAGUUUGACUGGGGCGGUCGCCUCCUAAAGAGUAACGGAGGCGCCCAAAGGUUCCCUCAGAAUGGAUGGAAAUCAUUCGCAGAGUGUAAAGGCACAAGGGAGCUUGACUGCGAGACUGACAAGUCGAGCAGGGACGAAAGUCGGGCUUAGUGAUCCGGUGGUUCCGCAUGGAAGGGCCAUCGCUCAACGGAUAAAAG
rnacentral:rRNA from 1 species